CAAAAACAGAUUACAAAACAGAAGCCCUUUAUAGCGCAGAGCUGCGUCUAGGAAGAGGAGCACCCCUUUGAUUUUGUCUUCAAAAUGGGGCCUAGCAGGGGCCUGGAUGCUGCGCAUGAAAGAAACCAGAAUGGAGGGAAGAGCUGUCGCACAUUCAACUAGCAGCAAGGACAGGUCAUCCUAAAAUGGACAGAGUACCAACUGCUGCUUAGCUCUGAAUCUACUGCCUUGGUCCCCAACCUUCCUGGUGGACUCAACACAAGACAUGAAGUCACAGUUCAUGCUGACUCUUCCUGGAGGCCAGUGAAGAAGAGGACUCAGGUUCUAGCCAGGCUGCAGCAUGAGAUCAACUGUGGGAAGCCUCAGAAGAUGCUGGAGGGAGAGAUUCUGGACAGGGAGAACAGCUUCCAGCGUGAACCUCCUUCAUGAGACAUGGAAGAUUCUCUUGGCCAGUGAGGAGUUAGAAUCUUGUAUCUGGAUGCGAAUAUCCUUACAAAGGUUUAUGAGGUCCCUUCUAUCCAAUCCCCUUUUCUGCUACUCUAACAUGUCUCUUUCAUGUGUUGCUUCUAGAGCCUGGAAUACCUUCUAGCCCAGACUCCUGGUCUCUGACACUUCCUCCCUCUUCUCACAAACCACUCAACUGCUACACUCUUGGCAUGCAGCCCCCCCUCCCCCACCGUGUUCAGUAUACUGCUGGUUAAAAGUUACUUAGCAGUGUAUGCCUUACUACAGAGUAAAGAUUCUAGGAGGGCCAAGACUAUUUACCAGUUUCCCAGACUGUUCAGUUCUGUAAUUGCCACUAUUGUUUUCUUUAUUAUGGCACCAGCACUACGCAAAGAUACCUGGUGCUGUUCCCAGAUUUAAGGGCACAGAACUGGCAGCAUGGACAUCUCUGCUGUCUCCUACUGUGCUUCUGGGGGGGGGGGAAACACGCAAGUUCGAGAAAGGCAAGGCUGCCUGACUUGAAAAGGGAAAAAGAAAACCACUCCGACAAAUGACCAUUUUGGGGGAUCUGCCUGCCAGGGUACACCAUGUGAGCUGGCUGCAUAGGACAAGCCAGGGCUAUCCAUCAUCCACAAAGAUAUUCUGCCCACACAGGUCAAAAACACCCAUGUUUGUAAUGAUGAACAUGAUACUGUGUUAGUUUUUAGAGAGGAUUUGUUUUGGCGCACAGUUUCAUGUCUGUUCAUGUUGGGUGAGGGAGACAUCACGGAGGAAGAGCACAGAGGAGAAAGGCUGCUCACCACAUGGCAGCCCAGGAGCAGAAUGAGUGAACAGUGCUGGGCAUGAGCAGGGUGACCUUGAACUUGUCCCAUCUCCUUGUUCCCACACACUCCCAGCAAUGCCAUCAAAUUAUGGAUUCAUAAUAUGAAUAUGGAGUCAUCUGUGGAGUAAGCCACUGGGGAGGUCAGAGCCCACAGGAUCCGAUUACUUCCCCACAGCCCAUUGGCUGGCAACCAUGGCUGUUUCUGUCCCCAGCUAACACUACCACUUCUUUGACUCGAAGGAAGGCAAGGAAAAAACAGUCCUUCAAGUCUAUGGUAACAUUUUGCUUAAAGCCCAUGGCCUAGGCCUUUCUCUCACAUACCUAGAACGAAUUGGCAACAGUUUUAAAAUUUCCAGGCUAGGUAUGGCACUGCACACCUUUAAUUUCAGCACCCAGGAAGCAGAGGCAGGAAGAUCUCUAUGAGGUCCAGGCCAGACGGAGCCACAAAGUAAGACUCAAAUCCCAAAGGUUUCAAGAAUUUCCUUAGCACUAAAAAUGUAAAGUUGGCCCCGCAUAUGUGUAAGCUGAUGUUAGGGGUAUGCAAAGGUAUGUAAAGGGCUGUGUGAGUUUCCGAGUGGCCUCCUCCCUCUGGCACUCACACAGCUCCCUGCAAUCACUUUUAAUGGCUUCUGACCACAGUUCCUGCCUUCCUGACUGAGGAGUAGCUCACCUGGAGCCGGUGCUGGGCCUGUGACCUACUUCUGGGUUAUAGGACUAUGGAUGCCUGUGCAUGCCAGUGCCCGGCACACUGGCUUCUGGGCAGUUCUCCUGUCCCCACCCUCACCUCACUGUGACAGAUGUGUGCCACUGCAUUCAGCUUUUAAUGGGGUUUGGGGGCUUGAACUCAGGUAUGAGAUUUGUGUAGCCAGCACUUUUACCUGCUGUGCCACCUCGCUGGUCCCAAUGGUGACCACACUUUACAGCGGUAAGAGUGACUUGGAGAGGCUGUGGAGCUUGGAUGACAUCAUUUAGGCUGAUCUGGGAUUUAAAUCACAGACUGACGCAAAAACUGAGAUUUUCACUUCAAGUUCAGGGACAUGAAGACAGAAUGAGAACUUAGGUUUGAGGCUGGAGAGAUGACUCCGCAGUUAGGAGCACUUGCUUCUUCUGUAGAGGACGUACCUUUAUUCCCAGCUCACAACCAUCUACAGCUUCAGUUCUGGGCAUCUGCCCUGCUCUUCUGACCAGUGUAGACACAGGCAUGUAUGUGGCACAUGUGAAUGCAUGUAGGCAAACAUGCAUACUCAUAAAAUAAGUGAAUCUCAGAAAAGAAAGAACUUAAACUUCCUUGUCUUGUGCAGUGGGAACUGAGGUCCCCGAGGCUUGUGUGGUAUCGGCCUUCUUUCCACUGCAUGCUUUACAAACUGUAUCCUAGACUGAGGCAGGGUUACCAGGCUACUAGACUGUGCCCUAGGUAUAGUUUACAACCAGUGGUAGCUGGGAACCCAUGUUCUGCUCGCUCAGCUACGUGCCUCAGGUGACCUGUACCCCAUUAGAAAGGGACCGUUUCUCUUAUAUGCUCAAAGGUACCAUAUGUUUCACAGGUGCCCCGGGUGGGAACAUUCAAGGGAACUCAGUAUUUCCUAUAACACUUUAAUUCGUUUUCUUAAAGUACACAAACCAGAAAGUAAUAUACAGCAGUUGAAUAUCACUUUAGCUUUUAUUUUUAUUUUAUCUACUUUUGUUUCAAGGCUGACCACCCAUGGCCUAUUGCAUCUAACACAGGGGCUAUCACAAGAUGGGGUAAUAGAGAAGGAAGCGUUGGGGGUGAAGGUCACUGAUCUAUAAGAUCACAGUGCACCUCAGUGCCUAGAAGUAGUCCACUCAUGAGAUAUGGUUCUACCGAAGGAGAAGUUAGGGUGAGGCCGGCUGACCCUGGGGACUCUGACCUUGGUGUAAGGUCGUCCUGGUUCUGCUAUUACUGAAAACUCUUGAUGCCCUCUUCAGAGGGCAAACAGCACUGGUAGCAGAACGUGGGCACUGCUCAUGCUUCUUCUAGGCCGGUGCAAAAGGGCAUUAGCAGUUUAACAGGAGCCUUUUAAGGUAACUACUUAUUGGCUGGUAGGAAGCAGGCCAAACGAGACUGCUUAUAUGGCCAGUGCGUUUCUGUGACCUGCAUUUCCCCUCUUCCGUGAGAAAGCUUGCUCAUGCAAACCUGCUAUAGAUUUGGGAAUAAACAUUCACAAGACCAAUAGUACCUGUUUUGGGCUUCUAUAUUUAUUUCCCUUCCCCUGCGCUGUGUCUUAUCUUAACUACCUAGCUUUCUACUCUCUGCAGACCAUCUCCGCUCCUCCGUCUGCAUGCAGGAGGGAUUUUUAAGAGUGCGGUCUUGGGACCUCCUAGCUAGUUCUUGCUUAAAUACAGGAACCUAAGAUCAUAGCUGUUUGGCUACAAUUUAGUUUACAAUAUAUACAGCAUGUAUACUGUAUUCUAUAGAUCUACAGUAUAUGUACUAGUCUGCUAACUUACUUGCUGUCUGACAAUGUCACUAACGUAGUUCGGUAGUUCCUUGGGCCUUUCCCUGGUGGAAGCUUUGUCAGGGCUGUGACUUGGGUUGGUUUGCAGAUGAUAACUAAAGCCCACUUCCGGUUCACAGUGCAAUGCCUAGAAGAUGAUGUAACGUCCCCAAAGAAACCCUCACCAAGCUGGCAAAUCCACUCCCACCAAAAUGUCUCUCAAAACCAGAAGGAUAAAUUUGCAAAAAAAAAAAAUUUAAAAAAAGCUUCAACAAGACAGAACAGUUUUACUUAGACACUCGAAAGCACAGAGGAGUCCGCUGGGGCUCAUUCUUCAGGUGCCACAGAUUCCAGAGCUGGUUCUGAGGCUGCCCCAUUCUGUGUGAAACCAUUAUCCAGAGAGGCCUUCACCCCAAGGGACCCCCAAGUGCAACCCCUGUCCCACUACGGCCUUUUGAGGUCUUUCCUUUCCUGACUGGAAUCUAAUUCCUUCAGCCAUCCCCUUGUAAAGAGAAUGUUAUGGAGAAGCCGAGGGAAACAGGUCUCCAGACUCCUGGUUUCACAGGCCUUCCGGCACCAGGCUCCAUAAACCACUGUGCCAGAACUGUACCCUCUGACCUUGGAGACUGCCUGACAUCACUAAGCCUGCUUCAGCCUGUGAAAGGGAGCUGGGGCUGCUUCCGGAGUGCUGGGUCAGACAGGAGCUAAGCAUGCAGGAGCAGCCAAGAAACACAAGCACAGUUGUCUGCUUUACUUCGAUUAUGCACUUUUAGAGGAAGGCAUGUGGGCUUCUCUUUCCUUGUUUUCUGCCAUCUCCGAUUUCCAAACAUCCAGGACUGAAUUUGCAGUCAAAACUCAAAAUUCCAUGUUUAUUUUUACUCUCUUUAAAUGUGUUCCUUUGGUCCGAUCCCAUUCUACCUGCUGAUAUGUUGAAAGCACUAAUGGCAUCUGAAAAGACACUGACGUUCCUUAAAUGUGCUACGCUGCUUCCUGCUUCCGCUAUGGAUGGUGCUGACUAAAAGGCGUGAGGGGAAAUGUUCUUGCACGUACCUGAAUCAUUUCAGAAUUUUUCCAUCUUUCAAAAUAGGAAUGAUAAAGUCUUAGUCUCCUUUUGAAAGAGGAUCACCAAAGCUACACCACCAGCAUGCGACUCUGGACCCCAGUGCACAGUCAAGGCACUAAGAACAUGGGGUAAGUGGGUUCUUAACUUCAGAUCCAGAAAGCUUCAGAGCUGCAAGGAACGGCCUCCGAAAGAGAGAACAAGAUCUCACAAUUCCUGGCGCUAGUGACCUGGCUCCAGGCUUCAGCUGAUCUUUAUAGGGGACAUGGUGCAAAGCCAUAUCAGGCAACAUUCUCUGUGCUCUCUGUUUCAACAAAUACUGGACUAAAAUUUCCUUUCGCCUCCAUUCUCUCAAACCCAAUCCCAGCGCCUUGUGAUCCCAGCAUUCCUGUGCUCUGCCUAGCUAUGGAAUUCAGACAGCCUGUAAUUGUCUCAGCUCCUAUAUCCGCUUACCAAGCAGAAUGCCUCCUUCCCCAUCCUGACUCCUUCCAAAGGCCGACUUUGUGGACUCCAACACAGAACAAAGGAAAGAGCACCCGGCUGUAAUCCACCCUGCUUGGCCCUAUCUCAUUCACAAACACUCUCAUACACACAAACUCACUCUCCUUCAUGGUGCCCAUGCAGCUUUGGAGUGAUUCCAAAAGACGCUGAGGCUCAGGAGAGUUAGGCUGGAGCCCUAACACCAGAUAGCAUAUAGCAAGGAUGGAGUCUAAUCUUGGUUGUGUGGCCCUGGGUUUCAAAAACGUGUGUGUGUGUGUGUGUGUGUGUGUGUGUGUGUGUGUGUGUGUGUGAUCUCAAUGUUAGUAACACUAACCCCCCAUCUCCUUUUGUGUUUGACUUCUGGACUUCUGUGUGUUUCCGCUGGCCAGCCUGCAUGUAAUCACCAUGCUACAGAGCAUGUGGUGUUUUCCUUAUCUGCUUUGCUGUCCUUCAUUACCUGAUCAUUGCGUUUUGUUUAAUAUGUUCUGUAAAAUGACAGCAAUGUCCAAGAUGAUUGUGGUAAUUAUGUUAAAAAAUAGAUCUUGGCAAGAAAAUGUUCAGUCAGUGGUAUGACAUAUGACUUAUGUAUUUUAAAUACAUCCCCUAAAAUUACUUAGAUUUUUAUUUUACUAAAAGUGUCUGAGCCAAUACUGACUUAAAGAAACAGAACUAUUUUCCUGUUGACCUUUUGGACUCCUUCCCUUCUUCACUCUCACUCCUCCUGGAGGUGCUGUCUCACAGAACAGAUAAGGUAGGCUUAGAUCUUCCACAGCUACUUAUUUACGGUUCUUGACUGCUUUAACGUCUCUUCUAGUCCACGGACCAACAGUAGGGUUCGAGAAAGAUGGUUAAUAGGACAAGGAGGUUGUGGGCCUGUUUAGAUCCAAUCUUGUCAGAAUACCAGCAGUCUAGCCCGACAGUUAACACCAAACACCAGUCGAUGGCAGUGGUACGAUCCAGCAAGAACUAUGAGGCUCUGCCUGCCUGAGUGGAAGAGACCAGAAUCAGCUGGAAUACCAUGAGCAAGUCUCUGGCAUGGUUCUCUCUAUGAAGUGAAGCCUAGCAAAGCGUUGCAUGGCCAACAAAGACCAGUGAAGUGUCACACAGUGUCACAAUGCAAGAGGGACCUUUCGCUGUCUGGAGGGCCCUACCCGCACUCUUCCAAACAUCACACUCCCUCUCAAGCGUCUGCUCCGGCAAAACAUCACAUGUCCUUUCACAAGACAGCUUCCACAGAAAUAUCAUAUGACACAACUGAAUUUCCAAAGAAACCAGAAAUUUCCACUUCAUAAAUGGGCUAGCAGAAGCUCCUAUAUCUGGUCCCGGGCCUGAGGAAGAGGGAGCUUUAAGCUUAGUGUGGGGAAAGUUGGGGAAAGGGGAAGGAGCUGAGUCCUGGGGACCCAGGAGGGGACAUAGCAGUCAACUCCAGAGCCAGGAAAUGGAGUGGCACAUCGGGAGAAGGAUAGGCAGAGGGAUGGCUGCUUCCCAGGGCCUGAUGGGAGAUGCAAAGGUAGAGAAUGGCAGGGCCCCAGACAGGAGUGACACACCAUGAGGACCUGGACUUUUCCUCUAGUCCCAAUGUCCUUAGCCCUAACUACAUGGUGGAAAGAAGAACAAGGCUUCCAAGUCAUAUGGGUGGGAGAAUCUCCCGAUGAGACAUUAAAGGAGAGAGAAAAGGAUGGCUGCCUAGCCAUUAACAGGUAGGAAUCCAAGAUCUAGCGUGGGAAGAGGAUAAUGAAGCCUGGGUCCCUCUAAGUAGCCUUGGGAAGGCAGGUGGCUCUUGGCCACUGGAGGAAGCUGUACAGGGCACUGACGUGGGGUCGGGGGCUGCAAGUGAGAUCAUGCAUUUUGUCCAACUGAAUGAAAACAACAGGCUCAAGGAGCCUGAGAGGAACAGGCAAGCUACCACAACUACCACCAGAACCCUUAAUAAAAAUGUUUCUAGCUGUCGCCCUGAACUGGAAUAGCCCAGAAUAAGUCUGAGUUUAACAAGUGCCCAGGUGUUUUUAGAUCAAAGGUGGUUUGGGGCACUAAACUAGUUUCCUAAGGGUGCUGUAACAAUCAACACACUUGACAGAUUUAUUCCCUACAACACAGGACAGAAGCCCAGCAGGUGUUUACAGGUCCAGGCUCUCUCUGAUCACAGGGCAUGUGCAGAGUCCUUCCUUGCUGCUUUAGCUCUGGCUUAUGACUACAGGACUCUCACUUUUAUCUUUCUCUUCUCAUCCUUAAGAAGAAUGGGAAGGUGUGGUGGCUGGGUCAUCUUGGACAACCUCAUUCCACCAUGAUGAUAAUCUAUGAGAUCAUUUUUCCAAAUGGAGACCCCACUUGCAGGUUCUGAGUCGUAGGCAUACCUUUAGGGAGGCCUCAUCAGUCAGCCCAGUAAAACCAUCAUGGCGAUAACUCAUAGAUGAAUGGGAGGAGAGCAUGGAUCCAGACACUGCAAGCAGAGUUCCCUGGCAGCUGACAGAGAAGGAAGAAUAGGACCAUUGCAAAGACCAUUUAUAUACACAGUGGCACUCCCAAGCACUCCCUGGUACUGGGAGACUCCACGGGGCUAAGAAUCAGGGGAAAGGCCACCUGAGAGUACUACAUGUUAGGAGACAAACACCCACAAGUUAAUAGAGUUAAAAUGACUAUGCCACCUUCUAAACAGAGGCAAGCACUUUGAAGGGCUGAAAAGACUUAGUCCAUUUUCCGAAUUGGAUUAAUUUGCUAUGAAGCUCUGAUUUCCUCUCUAAAAUACAGUGACAUGUUCUUACCCCUAUCCUUUACUUAAAGUUUGGACAAGCCACCAUGGCAGAAUUAUUUCUAAGUUGUUUCUUUAGGAUCAGUCGGCCGUCCUGCUAGUCCCCAACACUGGCGUUAGCUCCAAGUCCCUUCCCACCACCUACUGCCAUCCUGGACACCUUCACUGGGAGCAGUUCUCCCAUUAUUUGUAUAGUGACACACUCCCCCUGCUGUAAUCCUUCUACUUCCCAGACACACAGUAAGGUUUUCUGUGCCUUCAGACAGAAAUUUCUCUUCUUACAAACUAUUUUAACAGUCUUCAGAAUUUGAGUCUGAAGAGACCUCAUUGAGGUCUGUUACUCCAGCAUGCGUUUUUUUUUUCUUUUUUUCUUUUUUUUUUUCCGGAGCUGGGGACCGAACCCAGGGCCUUGCGCUUGCUAGGCAAGCGCUCUACCACUGAGCUAAAUCCCCAACCCCAAAUGCGUUUCUUUCUAAACAGAAUCCAGCCCACACCCUCGGAGACCGGCCUUAAAACAUGUUCCAGUUAGCAAGCUGGCAAACUCGUCUGCAUAAGUUUGUCUCUGUGUUUCGCUACGUGUAUAGCAACGUUCCCCAAAGGACAAACUCACACGAGUCAGGGAAAUCCUAGGUGCAUUCUUCCACAUAGCAGGACUGAGGUGGCAGGGGAGGCAAGAUCUCAGGUUAGGUCCCCACUGCCAGUCCAAGGAUCAAGCAGGACUUCCCCACAGCACUCUGAUGGCUUCUCAUCUGUCAACACUCCUUGGAGCAAAUCCUUGGAACAACUGCAUCCUGGCUCCCUCCUAGUGACCCCGCAUGACACCAAACCCUACAGCCUUAUUUAUGUAAUGGCAGAAACAGGCCUUAAGUGCUCAAGAGUUUCAAAACAAGACUGACAACUGUAGUGAAAGAGGGUGAGGGAAACUGAAUGAAUUCUACAGCACUGCCUUACGUGUGUGUUCCGUCUCCAUUCAGGUCUAAUAGAUGCUGGCUGUUCACCUUCACAGGUGGGUUACGUGGCGUCUACGGAAGCUAAGGUGCCCUGCCCCUGCUGAAGGGGUAACAGCUAUGAGGAGAGCAUGGCGAAGCCAGGAAUCUCAAAAGCUAACAUCUGUCGAGCAUUUCUGCGUGUGAGGCCCUGUGCUGAGUGCUGCACACACAACCAAGAGCGAGGAGUCUCUAAAAGAUGCUGAGAAGGGAGAGCAUUUCAUCCUCCACGGUGACACUCAUAGAAGGGGAGAGAGCCAUGCCCACAAUCCCAGACAACUCAGAAAGCCGCUGCUUGACAGCGCAGUGAGCAUCCUUGCUAAGUCAACACCUUAAGUCACACCUGUCGGGGGUAGGGGGCUGCCUGCUGUCCUUCUUUGUUGGUACCUGCCACCUGAUGCUUGGCUCCAUCCUGCUGCCUUUGGAGUGACAGACCAGAUAAGGAAGGACUUCUGCUGAUGGCUUCCUCCAGUUUUACCCAGUACUGGGCAGCCUGACACAUGUUGCCAUGUGUACCUGAUACCUCUCCAGAGAGCACAACCAUAGGUCGCUUUCUGUUACAGACCUUACGAUUUUGCUCACAUGAAAUGGGCAUAGCUAUAUAUAUGAAGGGGGUGAUCUAUGCAGUGACAUAGAGAAGGGAAGGUCAGCGGUUAUUACCUUUCCUCGGCUUGGGCCCAGGACUCUAUAGGAAAAGACUGUACGGGCUGCCACUGUGGUGAUCCUGAUGGGCGGACUCAGACUGUAUAUAGCAUAAUCCACAACUGACAGCGGCCUGUGUACAGUAAGUCUCUAAGCAUCCACAGUGGUCUUCGAAAGUCUUGUGGCUGGAGAGCUGGAGAAGGGCCCAAGCUUGGUUGCUAGCACAACCUCUGGUGGCUCACGACCUCCUAUAACUGUAGCUCCAGAGGAUUAGACUCCUCCAAUCCAAGUGGGUACCUGCGCUCACACACACCUCCCGUCCACAUUCAGAUACUUAAGAAGCAAAAUAAAUCUUAAAUAAAAGGCAUGCUGUAUUAGAACUACUUCUAUCCUCUUGUUAUUAGCCUGUGUUUAAUGCUCAUAUUACCUACCUGAACUUGUACAGACUUGAGUUUUAGACCUUAAUCUAGAAAAUGUAAGUUUAAGGUACUUCAAUUUUUGUAGCUGGUCUUGUAGCUUUUUCUUCUUCCCUCCCCUCCCCCUCCCCUGGUCCUGACCCCCAAACACAGAUAGGAGAGAAACAAGGACAGAAGGGCAAGAGAUCCCCAAAUCUAAUGUCUUUCUAUUUGUUUCUUCUUUGACCAUGGCUACUAACAAACCACACACAGGCCCCCUAAGUGACCACCAACCCUGCCUCUUGGGGCCCUCACAUUUAUAUACCCUCUGAAAAGUCCCCAGAAUUCCAAACACCACACAGUCACAGAAACUAUCUGCAGCUGGCAAAACCAUGCCUUUGCUAGAGCAUGAGGUAAAUCAUGGUCAGCUGCCACAUCCCCACACCUGGGAUUAAAACAAAAGCACAUUCUUAUAAUAUUUUUGGUGGUUUUUUUUUUUAAGAAACCAAAAUUCUAAAAUGUCACUACAAAUUUUACUGUUUCUAAAAUUUCAUCUGUCCAGUGACGUACCGUCCUAAAAUUGAAAUCAUGCCAUGUCAGUACCCAAGGUUUCCAUGACGCCCUCACGUGCACAGUAUCUGGGAGGCACUCGUUCUCCAGCCUAUUUGCUCCUAUAGGGAAACUCCUAACAUGAAUCCUGGAGGCAGAGCACAAAUUCUUCCCUUCCGUCUGUCUGUGUGUUUUCAGGAUGGGGUUUCCCAAUGCUUCAGGAGCUGACUGAACCAUCAGAUCACCACAUCCUGCCUUUAAAAGGAAGAGGCCCAUCUUCACCUUGAGCAGGUGCUGUGACAGGGGACGGUAAUGGCUGGGUAACACCCAGGACUUUAUUUAGCUCUAACUGUGUUAGAGGACUCUGAGUUGACAUCAUCCCACUGCUUCGCUGUGCCCUCCCUAAUAUGACAAGGACAAAAUGACAGCCAGAGAAGCCUGGCAGUCAGAGCUUCAAGACAACGCGACAGCACAAGAAGACACAUCUACCAAGACACAAAGCAAACCUGCUCCUUUCUUCUCUAGAGGUGUCAUGGAGACACAGAGCUGACCCUCUUGGUCUGGAGAAUAGUCCAAGUGGUCACUGUACAUCAGGAAUUCCUGGGAGACAACUCUGGUGCUUUUGCCUGAGUCUGCUCUCACCUCUCUACCUUCAACUGACAACCUCACAUCUGCUAUGAUUUCCCACAGAGUUCUAGACACAGGAUGUCAAGGUGCAGAAUCAUCGGUUCGGGACCAAGCCUUAGAUGUUUGUACUUCCCCUAGUCAUCCAUUUCCAUCUCCUACAUUUCCCAUAAUCCCUCCUCUAUGUUUCCAGUGUGAAGCCACCGUUAGCAGCAGUAAUCCCUGAAAGAGGCCAGGUAAGGUGGCAUAGGCCUCUGAGGCCUCUGGGGCUGGGGAAGCCACUUCCUCCUAGAACUUGGCAACCCUGAGUAAUCUGCAGAGUUGUUGAACAAGCACACCAGAAGGCCUGAGGAGACAAGCGCAUGGCUUUUUUGACUAUGGAAAGGCCACAGAAACUCUGGCCAGCGUACAAAUGGAUGUGUAAUAGUCUAGACUGAGGAAAACAAGAAGGAAAAAAAAUGGCUGGUAGUGGGAAAAAAAUAUAAAGAACUACAUUUUGGCAUGUUUUUGCCAAUUCCGCUCAGGAAUUACUUUCAUUAAAGCAGAAUGUAUCAGAAGUGAUGUUGGAAGCCUGUAACUCCAGCACUGGGGAGGCUGAGGUGGGAAAAUGAGUUGGAGGCUAGCCUGGGCUACACUGAGAGGUAAUCUCUGUACAACAACAAAACUCAGAAUGUGUUUUUCGGGCACUAUUUGGGUAUUUAAACGUUCACAUGUUCGAGAGAGAGUUUAUCUACAUGGUAAAAAAGUAAAAAAACAAAACAAAACAAAAAAAAACCCCUCCCCCGACAAAAGCCCACAGUCUGCUGUUUAGAACCACUGUGCUGUAAGUAUACUUAUUUAAAAAUAACCUAAAUACAGGUUAUGCUACGUGAAUGCUCCAGUCUCUGCCUGUGCUUUCGUUUUAGAAAACACGCUCACAGGCUGCACAAUGGGCGGGGCUUCACUGUGUACACUCAGUGCAGAAAAUGGCUACCGGGUUGGGCCUGCACACUACAAACAAGCAGGGUACCUUCUGGAGACACUCUCCCUCCUGGCCGAGAACCUUCUUUUCCCACCAAUACUGGGUUUCUUUGCUGAAUACCCUGGUAAGUAACCACCAGAGCGUUUACUAUCUCCCGAGCAAGGGAGCCUCGUGGGGAAAAACACAUUAUUUUUAAAGCAAGACGGCCGUUAGGAUCAAAAGGAAGACUCCUAUUUAUAAAAGAAGACAACCACGUCGACAGGUAUUUCUUCAACAGAAGUGGAAAGCAUUUUGCCAGAAAUUAAUAAAUGGAAAAAAGUCUUAAAAACAAACAGAAAGCCUUUUAAUCAGUUUCCUGGUAAAAUGUAAAACCAACGCUUGCCUAGGAAGCGCAAGGCCCUGGGUUCGGUCCCCAGCUCCGAAAAAAAGAAAAAGGAAAAAAAAAAAAAAAAAAAAACCAAAAGGACGAACGCUGACAAAUUAAAUGGAGGCCAAAGCAGGGUAAGAAUUCACUCCGAAGUUAUUUCUGUUUAGGAAGGGAUGUGUCCUUCCAGGUGACUGACCGCACAUCUGUGCAAAAAGUCAACUCAUGGUGAAGGGGGCUGAGACACCCUAAUCACUGGACCUUGGUAGGAAAAAAGAAAUUGAAGGUCAGGGUUGUUUUCUUCACCCCAGUUAGCACAGGCCCCAAGGGUAGCAGGCGCUAAGGCCCAGCCCUGGGACAACUCCGCUCAGUCACCCGCGUUAGCAGAUUCUUCUCCUGUCAUUUCCCACGAAAGCAAAGGUGAAACCCCAUUAUGCCAGAGGAAGGGGACACAAACGGGAGGUGUGAUUCAGCAAGCACGCAGAGCAUGUGACGGUGACACGUCCAUCAAACAGAUGUGUGAUUCAGCGCUGAGGCAGUGGAGAAAAUGGCUGAGUCAUGUCAGGGACCGCAGGACCAGGGGAUAUAUGUUUCAGCAGAAAGCGAGAUCUAUUUGUAAGAAAGGAAACCCUCACUUACAUUCAGGAACCAAUCACGAUCCUGACAGAGCUGACGAAAGGCUUGUGGGGUCACACGAACACACAGAGCAGUGAAGGCCGCUGUGGUUACACCGCAGGGAGCAAUGGAAGGUGGGGUGAUGCCAUUCCUGAUCACCUGGCAUGCGUGUGGAGGCCAGGGAGGGCACCGGAGCCCUGGAAAUGGAGGCACAGCCCAUUGUGAGGUGCCAUAUUGGAUGCUGGGAAGAAGGCCUCUGUAAGAAUGGCAAGUGUUUUUAACUACUACAGCCAUCUCCUAAGACCACCCUGGUAAAGCCUUGGCCCAUACUAAACUCCUGGUCACUUCAACACACACACACACACACACACACACACACACACACACACACACACGCGCGCGCGCUACAACAGUGUAAUGGUUGGAAUAAAUACAUUAAAAUGAGGCUGGGAGACCAGGCUUCGGGCAGCAGCAUCUUAGCAGAAAUGGACAGAUUGUGAGAGGAAGGGAAGCAUCAUUUAUCAGUUGCCUGCCACACUGUAGCUACUGAUCAAAUUAUCACUCAAAGUUUCAAAACAGGGGUUGGGGAUUUAGCUCAGUGGUAGAGCGCUUGCCUAGCAAGCGCAAGGCCCUGGGUUCAGUCCCCAGCUCCGAAAAAAAGAAAAAAAAAGUUUCAAAACAGACCAAUUUGAGCUUAGAAAGGAAAAACUCAGCUUAGCAGGACUUUGUGCACUUCACAAGCCUGGAAAAUGGCCCAGCUGGUUUGAGAGACUGGGUUUAUCUGCCUCUAGCAUCCUCAUCCCAGUGUACCAAGCUCAUAUGCUCAAAAAAUAGACCCAGUAUUUAAUAGAUAUACACUCAAAGGCAAUGGAAUUGAGUUACUUUUAGAAACUUUUUGCAACAACAGAAAGGGUUUUUGUUUGUUUGGUUGGUUGUUUUUAAUCUAUCCUUUGAAGAAAGAUUCUCUGGGGCUGGAGAGAUGGCUCAGUGGUUAAGAGCACUGACUGUUCUUCCAGAGGUCCUGAGUUCAAAUCCUAGCAACCACAUGGUGGCUCACAACCAUCUGUAAUGAGAUCGGAUGCCUCUUCUGGUGUGUCUGAAGACAGCUACAGUGUACUUACAUAUAAUAAAUAAAUAUUAAAAAGAAAUAAAGAAAGAGUCUGAUUUAUCUGUUGUUGACACUGAUACAAUGUUAAUACCACUAUCAAAACCACAUUUAGCAGCCUGAAUUUUAGUAAUGAGACGUGUGUUUGGGAGUAUGCUAAGGUCAGGGAUUUGUACAAGAUUUAUUCUCGAUUUAUGCAAGCUAGAAACUUAUGCAAACGAAUCCACUUAAUAUUCAUUGUGCAUAUCACAUUACCUUGCAAAGGAAAAUGCCCCCCAAACACAUAAUGCACCCCUUGUCAGUCUCGUGUUCUUGGACCCAUCCCUCCUAUCAGAGGAAAGCUUUGUUCUAGAGGCUUCUGGAAGCAUACUCCUCUGAGGCUUUUUGCUCUCCUUACAGGGUUCUUUCUGUCUCCCUGGUCAUUUCUUUUCUUAAAAGGCUCAAUACUCAACCACAUUCUUCCUAUACUCUAAUGGGAAACCUCUUCAUCUUUUCCGUAUACCCAUAGCUCCCGAUCUGGCCUUCCCCUUCCUAAGGGGUCCAGAUGAAAGAUGGCGGCUUCAGUGCUUUACCCUCAGUGCCCCAGGGUCCCCAAGGCACCAGGGCUCUGAGAAUGCUAUGCUAGCAGCAUCCCGUACUCUUUCUCCAGCAAGACAGCUGCCUGCCAUUUUUCUCAUUUCCCCACUUGCUACCCCGUGAGAGCACCAUCUCUGGGCCUGCCCCUUUCCUUAGAGGACUGCGCAGCCUUCUUUCUUAUUGCCUCUCCUCCUAACCUCCUCUAAGCUAUGCACACGGACAGGCUCCUCAGGCAGGGCCAUGACAUUUCCUUGUUCAGAGAGCCUUAAUGACACCAUUGAUUAACACAUUCCAAUUUCCUAGUUGGCAUUCAAGACCAUUAUUGUUCAGCAACAAAUAUUCUCCAGUUCCAUUUCACCCUGGACGCCUGUAUAGACCAGUUCUAACUCAAUUGGACUUGAUGCUUUUCAUGGAUCACACGCUGAGCUUUCUGUCUUUCUCUACUCCUACUGCAAAAGCCUCCUCCAAUUACCAAAGACUUCUUUUUACAUUUACUGCCUGGACACACACACACACACACACACACACACACACACAGGAGGACAGGAGGGCGGGGUCUCUCUCUCUCUCUCUCUCUCUCUCUCUCUCUUGCUCUCUGUCUCUGUCUGUCUCUGGCUCUCUCUCUCUGCCUCUCUCUCUCUCUCUCUCUCUCUCUGCGUGUGUGUGUGUGUGUGUGUGUGUGUGUGUGUGUGUGUGUGUGUGUUUCUUGUUCGCCUUUUCAAGCUCUAUCGACCGUCUGAGGAGGAAGUUCCCGUUGUUUUUCGGUUGAAUUCUCUAGCCCCUUUAGUGGGGUCAUACUUGUGAUGGCCACUUGAUAAACAUUUGCCGCCUAACAUUUACAGAACUUCACAAAGUUCCCAAGCCCGUGUGCAGGUCCGUGUCUCUUUUGUUUUCCUAUGAGACUUAUGUUGUAACAAGUGGCAGCCAGGUCCCGUAAUCUGAUUUCUAGCCUUUAACGCAAUUCCCAGGUUUACCAUUUGGCUUUCCAUCCCAUAAAUCACGAAGAAGUGCUUGUGUUUCUUCAACUGCUCUAUUUUAGAAGGCCAAAGUCAGCUGGACUAAAAGCUAAGAAAUUGCUUUGAAUCAAAAACUUCUCUUGUCAAACUGCUUCCUCUCCCACCCCCAGCUAUGGGUUAUGUACAUACAUUUUUUUUUAAAAAGGUCUCAAUUGCAAGUGACAGGAAUGGAAAAAUGGCCAAUUUAAAGUUAGAUUUCAUUUUGAAAACGAAAAUGACGUAAGUCGGUCUCCAGCAUCCUUCUGUUGAUUACCAACAGCAAAUCGCUGACAGCUGAACAAAUAAUUCCCCCCUUAAAGACGCGACAUGACUAAUACAAUUAUAAAAGCAUAAACAUCUUGAAUACCCGAGAACCUCAGAGAAGUCCAAUAACAUGAUAUAUGAAUCCAGAGGCCUCGUGAUCGUGUAUCAACUGAAAUUAUACGAUUAGUAGAUGUUAGAAGUGGACAAGAAUUAAAGUUCGAAUUGCAAAGCAAGAACUUGGAAACGUCGCUGGCUGUGGCCUGACCCCGUGGCAGGCAGCACUGCGGGGCUGCUGGGGUGGCAGUUAGGGAGAGCGGUGACUGUGGGCUUGCCCACCAACUCUGCCUUUUGACUUUAGGUAGAAUUUAGACUGCAGGCUUCUGGAGGACAUGCAUUUAACUGAGAGCGGUGUGGCUCUAGCAAAGCACUCUGAAAGACUGAGCCCAUGAAGGAAGAGCUAGCCACAAAGCCUUCUACGACCUGCCACGGUUUGCACAUUUCAAUCCUCCUCUUUCUUGACUCUUCAGAGUACCGUAGAGGAGGAAACUGACACACCAGAAGAGGGCAUCGGAUCCCAUUACAGAUGGCUGUGACUCACCAUGUGGUUGUGGGAAUUGAACUCAGGACCUCUAGAAGAGCAGUCAGUGCUCCUAACCACUCCCUCCAGCCCUCAGAGGAGUAAAUUAUUAACACACUGCCCCACACAUAGAGACACACAACCGUUUGGCAAACCGUAGCUGUUUCUGUCACUGCCUUGUACUGUGUUACCACCUUAGAGUGCUGGGCUGUCCAGACAUCUGCAUGAGAACCGAAAAUGUCUCUUCAUGAUUGCACACUCUACAGCAAGUAGAGAGGCUGGCGGCCCGUCUGCCCUGACCUCAACCCACUGCGAGUGACAACAAAACUCAGUGGAAUGCUCUGGGGUUCCAUCUUGCUUAGGGUCCUUACGACUUGAGGAAGCCACAGAGCUAUCAAGACACACACACACACACACAAGUUCUCAUCAGCACAUCUACCAGCGGAACUAACAUGCCAAGCCUGCUGCCUUGAAGCUCUGUUUGCUAGUUCUCCCUCGGCACAGAGGCCUGGCACACCACGUGUCCUUAAUAACAGACUGCUUGGGAGUCAUGGAAAUUUUGUAGUACCCAAACCUGGCCAGGUCGAGCUCAGGAUUCAGACACCUUGAGGAGUCUUUCAGAAACUGCCAUUUCUUUUCUCACGCAGACUAAGGAAAGACAGACCCCUCAGUUACCUCAGUUAGAACAUGCCAGCCUUAACAGAGUUAGCUUCUGUGCUUUGGCAGAAAUCACUUGGAAAUCCUUGGUUCUGGGCCCUCCAUGUCUUCCACAGCAAGAUCUAAGAAAAGAUGAAAACGCAGUGAUUCAGGAUUCAGGACUUCAGCCGCAAGAGUCAUUGCGGGAAGUAAAUGAGAGAGAUGCCUUCGGUAAAUCGGGGACUGCACCGAGUGCUCUCAGUGGAUGGGUAAAUCUCUGUAACACCCCUCAGCUGUAGGGAACAGUUCCCCAUUUUACAGCUGUGAACCUGUUGCUGGAGGUCACACUGAGUGAGUGCUGGGACUCAAACCCAGGUUAACAUCAGCACAAAGAUUGAUUUGAGCAAAAAAUCUGCAUCCCAGAACAUGAAAUUGGAGUCUUAAAGGCUUUUUUUGACAGUGACCCAUUUUAUUACAAAUUAUGUUACAUAAGCCAAAGGCGCCAUUAAACUUCGCAACGAUUACUUUUUCUAGUCCUUCCUAUCGUACUACAUAUUCUAAUCUUUUAAAAAUUUUCAGCAGUGACCCAUCAACGGAAUUCUACUAAUGAAUGCUUGGUCUCGGAAAAACACUGGUAGAAGGCCUAUGAUUCUCGAAGUCAGCCGACCGCUGCAAGUUGCAAGUUCGAAACCAGCCUGGGCUGCUAGCAUAUUAAACGUUCUAGGCUCCUUAGCCAGACCCUGUUACAAAACACAAACUCUGCUCUUUGAUCUUAGCUACAGCGAGCCGCUAUAAGUUUCUCUGAAACCACAACAAAACUAUUCUUUCCAGCCGUGAGAACCAGAGCAAGCACUUUAGCUCCCCAAUUAGGAGAAUGGCCUUUAACCUUUCAAAUAGGCAUAUACUACACAAACGUUUAUCAUUUAGAAUAAAUCAUUACAUGGGUUUUUCAAUCAGGCCCAACAUCCAGAAUAGGAAUCAGGCACUUACCCACCGCAAAGCAGGAGUUAAUAAAGUGGAAGCGCAGAUAGAUUAAAAUCUCAGGUUAUUUAUCAGCUGACCUGCAAAGAAGUGUCUAAAGGCUGACUGUUGAAUUGUCCCAACAGACAGACCGCUGCAGUAGGAGCUGGAGGCCGAGGCUGCAACCCCUGGGGGCAGGGCCCUGCCUUUGAACGUCCGGUUCAAUUCCAGGGGCUUGGUGUCGCACUAGAAUCUCAACGCGAUCCGGUAGGGUCAGGAAGCAGCUCGGGUUUGUGCUUCAGGGGAGGGGAGGUACGACAGUCCCGAGCCCCAGGUACGCGUCACUCCCCGCUGCCCCCCUGCAGCCGAGCCUGGUGGGGCGGGACGCGGGCACCUGCGGGCGCUGACUGCUCCGUAAGCUCCGCUGCGCGUCCGGGGAAGGCUGCAGCGCUGCCCACCGGCUCCUGCCUCCCCACCCCCACGCUUUGGAGACGCGCAGGCCCCGGCGCACUUACGGGGCUCCGCUCCGCCGCCCGCGCGCUUCCCGCGGGGUCCAUGGCGCUUCCGGACCUGCGAGUCCGGCCGCAGCGCCGCCCAGAAAAUGGACGCCGGCGGCUGGGCCCGGACGCCCUGGUCCGCCACUGGUGCAGUGCAGGCCCGACGGUCGCUAGACCUCGGGCGCCCGCCGACGCGCAGGCUUCAGGGGCGCUGCGGGCCGCAAAGCUUCAGCACAGCCGGCGCCACCGCUGCAGAGCCAGGCUCGCACAGGGCUGCGCAGCCACAGAACAGGCCCUGCACCCAGCGCGGGCCUCGUACAUUCGAGCCCUAUGCAGUUUUAAGGGCAUCAAGUUCUCAGGAUCAGGGUGUCACCUGUGCUUUCCCAUGGCUGUCAGGGGACGCCUGGAUUAUUUCCCACCAUGGUAUAAGAACUAACUGUCUCAUGCAAUAAAAUAAAAUAAAAAGCCACCGACUGUCCGCUGGCAUCCUUCCUACACAGAUUCGCAAUGUGGCACCUACUGCCUCAUGCACACCUAAAUGCAGGUGUUUGUUUUGAGCCAUCCAGCAUUGAGUCUUCGAUUUUUAAAUUUUUUUUUUUAAUUUUUUGUCCUUUGGAAAAGACUCGCUCCCAGGCGAAACAUUAAGGUUUUGAAAAGGGGUAUUUUCCUGGAAUAUGGUUGCUUGCCAUUUAUGCACUCCAGUUCCUGACCAAGCAUUAAGAAUAUGAUCAUUUUUUGGUGAGUUGAGUAGAUUUUAAUACUAUAUGCAAAGUAGAGUCCCUUAAACGAUGCAGGAAAAAAUGGUGUCAUUUAAAAAUGCAGACACCAUUUGUGAAGGCUGACAGGUUGGGCAACGUGCAUACACAUGUAAAGAGCAGUUCCCGACCUUCUCAAUGCCAAGCACGCUUUUAUUCUCUCGCUCCAUAGGCCAGUGUUCACAGAUUACCUCCACUAAACUGCAUUUAUUAAGUAAUGAUUCAUUUUCCCCUUUAAAAAAAAAAAGGAGCGUGAACUGUUUUUGUCUACAUAACUGCCAGGGAGAACUUCCACAAAGCCUGAGCUAACUUGCUGGCAAUGGCGGAUACCAACCUUAAAAAACAAAACCAAAGAAGCUCCUGGUCUAAUUGCAUGUUUGUAUGUUUCCAUUGAGGCUGGGAAUGAUUUUAAAACUAGUGCCCAUAGAUCGGGAAGUCUGUAAGCUGUAUUGCUGUCGCUGAUUCCCUGGGACUGCUGGGGAGGUGGCGGGCAAGGCUGGUUGGCCUUUUGGAUUCUGCAGUCCUGUGCUGACAGCCUGGGUUUGCCGUUAUAUAAGGCCACUUCUCUGACCUUCAGCUCUGGUGUCUAACGUGCAGUAUGUUUUAGUAUUAAUGUCUACCUCCUAGGUGGUUUUUAAAUUGAAUUAAAUAAUACAUGUGAAACACUUGCUCUCUAAUUUCACGCAGGUGUGAGGAUUGAAGGUCAACUAUUCUGAGUUAGGGCCUCUCUUGUUUAUAGUGGUUUUCCAUGGGUGAUCACCUAGGGUCACUUGGGACCUAUGACCUAAGUCUGACUCCAGGGUGUUCCAGGAGGUGUCCUGAUCAGAUCCUGUCAACAACUUGUGACUAGUGAAAUUUGGCUCUGGCUUUAAGAGUCUUAGCAUGUGGAAUGCCCUCACCGCCAGCAGGGCAUUCACAAACAGUUGCAUUUUUUUUGUUGUUUGUUUGUUUGCUUUGUUUUGCUUUUUCUUAUUGGAGCCAAAUAUUUCUCUGGAAGCAAGCAGUAUUUCCUCACAUUGUUUUAAUAACUAAACUAUCAUAGCAAUGGCCUGAAUCUUAUGUAAUAAACCAGUCCUUCAAAAAUUUCCACCCUUCCUCAUAACUGGACUCUCUCAGUCAUCCUUCUGAGGAUGGGGGAGCUAUCUGGAAAUUUCCAGAAACAUCCCGUCUUAUCAUAAGUAUGCUCUUUUUUCUGUAAAGGUUUCCUUCACGAUUUUCUUUUCCGAAACAACUACGUGUGGUGUCUUCUUUGUAAUAAUUUCCAUUUCAAUUCAUUAAAAAAGGACAAAAAGAGAGUCUAAGACUUCAAAUCUCCUUAAAAGUCUGUCUCCUUGCUCAUCUUUGAUCCACAGCUCCUAGGCCCUGCCCAGGAAGCUGUCUUUGUUUUGUGUCUCAUUUCGUUUCAUUCCCACGUUUCUGUUAUACUGCAUGUGCUUUCUGAUUAAGAUUAGGGGGCAGCUUAACACUGACAGUUCCCCUUUCUUCACAGGACACCAAGAUAGCAGCUAAAAAGACUAAAACGUUGCCCUUUCAAACCCACACAAGGUGUCCUCUACAAGGCAGCAGGGAUCAAAGACAAGGGGAGUGUGUGGAGUGCAUGAAAUUCAGUGUCCUAUGAGAUGGUCUAUGUGAUACUUAGAGUUGUGCUGGUUUAAUAACCUAAUUGGACAAAUUCAUAUGUUGCCCAUGAGACUCGAUGGCAUUUGGCACUCGGGUUUGGCCCCGAGGCUAUAUAUAGUUUCAAUAAUCUACAGUUUAAAGCCUUUAAAAAAAAAAAAGAAAUAUUUCAAGCUUGGAGAAGAACUAAAAGGGUGGUGGUGGGCCUUUCCCUGCUUCUCUCCCUCUCCACAUUUCCCCUUCCUGAACUUUCCAAAGUUGCAGACAUUAUCCUUUUAGCCCUGUGUAGUUCAGUAUUUCUUUUCUAAGACCUUUUUUUUUUCUCUUAGAGUCUAUCUCUUUUAGAGAACUGGGCUCAAGAGUCAGAGAUUAAAAAAAAAAAAAAAUUGAGGCAUGAAAGCCGGGCUUAGUGGUGCAGGCCUUUAGUUUCAGGACUUCGGAGGCAGCGGCAGGCAGAUCUCUGAGUUCGAAGCCAGGAUGGUCUACAGAGAGAGUUCCAGGACAGCCUGAGCUAGCUGUGGGAUUUCCUUUGAAAUAACAAAAGAACUGGAGUGGAGGAAGGGGGAUGUGCAUGAAGCCUUUUUGCUUCUACAUACGUUCAAGAUUUUCCUAGUAAAGUUUGAAAAGGUUAAGCUUGUGAAGGACUUUCAAAUGGUAUAAAAUGUUUGUGCUGUGAUAUCAAAUAGGGAAACAUACAGUGUGUCUACAAACAUUAAAUUGUACUAAAAGGUUCGCUGCGUGUAGAUAAGAGAUUAAAAUGGUUGGUGUAAAACAGUAAGGCUCUAGCUAUUUCACAGUCUGCAGAUCUUAGCUUUCUAAGAAAAAGGAAUAAAAUUAGAAGACAACACUAAAUAGAAAAUAUUUCCUGAAACAGGGCCAGUGGAAUGGCUCGGUGGGUGACGAUAUGUACUGCCAAGUCUGAUGGUCUUCAUCUGAUUCCCAGACCCCUACAGCUUAUCCUCUGAUCUCCACAUGCAUGCCAUGCAUAUACAUGCACACACACACACACACACACACACACACACACACACGCACGCACACAGUUUUUAAAAAUAUUAUUAGAAAUUAAACAAAACCUAUUGACUCAAUCUGGCCAAUGGGUUCCCAGAACAGAUUAUAAUUUACAAAAUAGAAUCGUCAUCUAUGCCUGUCAUCCCAGUACUCUGUUAACUACGGCAGGAGGACCAUGAGUUUAAAUCCAGCCUGGGCUUCAAAGGGAGACCCUGUUUCAAUAAGAGAGGAAGGGAAGAAAGGAAGGAAGGAAGGAAGAAAGGAAGGAAGAAAGGAAGGAUCAAUCUUCAAAUAUAAAUCUAACCUGUGACCUACUUUUAUAUGGCCUAAAAAUAGCUUUAUAUUUUUCAGCUUAAAAUAGUUUUAAACUUAUGUGUAUUCAUAAUAUGUGUCUGUGUGGGGUGUGUGCACACAGCACAGGUGCCUGAGGAGGCCAGAGGCAUUGGAUCCUCUGGACUUAGAGCGACAGACAGCUGUGAGCAAGAUGGAUUCUGAGAAUCCAACUUGGGUCCUUUGCAAAAGCAUUGUUUUCUCUUAAUCUGCUGAGCCGUCUCUCCAGCCCAAGGUUUGCAUUUUUAAGUGACUGGGUGGAGUGUCAAAAGGAAGAACAUUAUAUGAUAAGAAACCAUAUGAAAUUCAAAUGCCAUUGCCCAUAAUGGUGAAGGGCACAGUCACAGCCGUACCUAUUGUAGUUAUUAUAGUUAACAUUGCAUUUCAUAUUUUCUUUCAUUGAUACAAAAAUCUGUGGAAACCCACAAGACCCUCAGCUUUGCUUCCACUCGCUGGUUUUGUUGUUUUAUAUUUCUGAGACAGGGUCACUAGAGCCCUGCUGGCCUGCAACGCACUGUGUAGACUAGACUGGCCUUGAACUUCCAGAGCUCUGACUUUGGCUGCCUCUGGAGUGUUGGCAUUAAAGGUGUAUCGUGCCAUGCCCAGCUUAGAUAAAAGCUCUGGGACACUUCCGAUCCCAAUAGGUGAACCACAACGGAGUCCCUCUCACUAAGGUCCCAAAUACUAAACCGGAAUUAAGGUUAGUGCUUGACCUUCUGAGAAAUCAGUAGAUCGUCCUGAAGUAGGCCAGCUCUGGUGGCCAGAUAAGGAAGUCCCUCUGCUUUAACCCUCACAAGGGAAGAAACCUGAAGAAGCCCAACGUGAACCUCUCUGUUCUCGCUCAAGCUGCCCUGUACAAUCUGGCUCCUCUUCCAGGUCCAACGCAGCCCAUGGUUUUUAUAGAUCAGGGGCUGCCUGAGUCACAGAUCUUUAGUGAACGCCAGCAAAGUCAACACCAUCUUUAAACUCAGUUUGUUGAAGUUUUAUUUUCUUAUUUUGGCAUUGCUGAGGUCUGAACCCAAGGCCUUACGUAUGCUAGGCAAACACCCUACCCCAUAUUCCUACUAAAAUUUUUUUAUUUUGCAUUAAAAGAAAAAAGGCCUCAGCCACUUUCUGUCUGAUCUUUUAUUUCUAAAAGCCAGCUAAGUUUCCCUGCAACUGAAAGCAGUUGGUUUGGUGGAAGGGAACUAAACCAGGAAUUAAGCAUGAGUCUGCAGUUGACUCCCCAGAUGACCUCCAGAAGGAACAACUUCUCAGGCCAGGUCCUUCAGUGAGAGAAAAAGAGCCAUGCCUGGGGCAAGUACACUGUAGCUGUCCUCAGACACACCAGAAGAGGGCAUCAGAUCUCAUUACAGAUGGUUGUGAGCCACCAUGUGGUUGCUGGGAUUUGAACUCAGGACCUCUGGAAGAACAGUCAGUGCUCUUAACCGCUGAGCCAUCUCUCCAGCCUGCUCAUAGACAUUCUUUAACCCAUUGUUCACCUUAUUCCUUUGGCUACCUUAAGCACUGUCCGGCCCCUGGGGCCAGAAAAGGGACAUUUUCCAUCCCCUUCCCCUUUUCUGUCCUAGGAUUAUAUCCUUCCACAUCUUUUCCCAAAUAAAGUCUAUGCUGCCCUUGG